UAGGGAAUCUUCCGCAAUGGACGCAAGUCUGACGGAGCAACGCCGCGUGAGUGAAGAAGGAUUUCGGUUCGUAAAACUCUGUUGUUAGAGAAGAACAGCGCAUAGAGUAACUGUUAUGCGUGUGACGGUAUCUAACCAGAAAGCCACGGCUAACUACGUGCCAGCAGCCGCGGUAAUACGUAGGUGGCAAGCGUUGUCCGGAUUUAUUGGGCGUAAAGCGAGCGCAGGCGGUCAAUUAAGUCUGAUGUGAAAGCCCCCGGCUCAACCGGGGAGGGUCAGUGGAAACUGGUUGACUUGAGUGCAGAAGAGGAGAGUGGAAUUCCAUGUGUAGCGGUGAAAUGCGUAGAUAUAUGGAAGAACACCGGUGGCGAAAGCGGCUCUCUGGUCUGUAACUGACGCUGAGGCUCGAAAGCGUGGGGAGCGAACAGG
rnacentral:rRNA from 1 species